rnacentral:rRNA from 1 species
UGCAAGUCGAGCGGAAAGGCCCUUCGGGGUACUCGAGCGGCGAACGGGUGAGUAACACGUGAGCAACCUGCCCCAAGCUUUGGGAUAACCCUCGGAAACGGGGGCUAAUACCGAAUAUUACUUGCGGUCGCAUGACUGUGGGUGGAAAGUUUUUCGGCUUGGGAUGGGCUCGCGGCCUAUCAGCUUGUUGGUGGGGUGAUGGCCUACCAAGGCGACGACGGGUAGCCGGCCUGAGAGGGCGACCGGCCACACUGGGACUGAGACACGGCCCAGACUCCUACGGGAGGCAGCAGUGGGGAAUAUUGCACAAUGGGCGGAAGCCUGAUGCAGCGACGCCGCGUGAGGGAUGACGGCCUUCGGGUUGUAAACCUCUUUCAGCAGGGACGAAGCGAGAGUGACGGUACCUGCAGAAGAAGCACCGGCCAACUACGUGCCAGCAGCCGCGGUAAGACGUAGGGUGCGAGCGUUGUCCGGAUUUAUUGGGCGUAAAGAGCUCGUAGGCGGCUUGUCGCGUCGACCGUGAAAACUUGGGGCUCAACCCCAAGCCUGCGGUCGAUACGGGCAGGCUAGAGUUCGGUAGGGGAGACUGGAAUUCCUGGUGUAGCGGUGAAAUGCGCAGAUAUCAGGAGGAACACCGGUGGCGAAGGCGGGUCUCUGGGCCGAUACUGACGCUGAGGAGCGAAAGC